CCUACGGGAGGCAGCAGUGAGGAAUAUUGGUCAAUGGACGAGAGUCUGAACCAGCCAAGUAGCGUGAAGGAUGACUGCCCUCUGGUUUGUAAACUUCUUUUAUAUGGGAAUAAAACGUUCCACGUGUGGGAUUUUGUAUGUACCAUAUGAAUAAGGAUCGGCUAACUCCGUGCCAGCAGCCGCGGUAAUACGGAGGAUCCGAGCGUUAUCCGGAUUUAUUGGGUUUAAAGGGAGCGUAGGUGGAUUGUUAAGUCAGUUGUGAAAGUUUGCGGCUCAACCGUAAAAUUGCAGGUGAAACUGGCAGUCUUGAGUACAGUAGAGGUGGGCGGAAUUCGUGGUGUAGCGGUGAAAUGCUUAGAUAUCACGAAGAACUCCGAUUGCGAAGGCAGUUCACUGGACUGCAACUGACACUGAGGCUCGAAAGUGUGGGUAUCAAACAGGAUUAGAUACCCCAGUAGUC
rnacentral:rRNA from 1 species